rnacentral:rRNA from 1 species
UACAGAGGUCUCAAGCGUUGUUCGGAUUCAUUGGGCGUAAAGGGUGCGUAGGCGGCGCGGUAAGUCGGGUGUGAAAUCUUGGAGCUUAACUCCGAAACUGCAUUCGAUACUGCCGUGCUUGAGGACUGGAGAGGAGACUGGAAUUUACGGUGUAGCGGUGAAAUGCGUAGAUAUCAGGAGGAACACCUAUUGCGAAGGCAGCUCGCUGGGACGUAACUGACGCUGAGACGCGAAAGCGUGGGGAGCAAACAGG